rnacentral:rRNA from 1 species
AUGUCCUCUCUGAGGCCGCUCAACACGGAACCAAGUUUUCUCCACUCCCCCAUGGAUGCCUGCGCCGCGCCGCUGAGGUCGCCGUCGCCGAGGGUCGUCGCCGGCCCGCCCAAGAAGAGGAUGCCGCGCCCCCUCCAGAGGUCGCUCAGCUUCAAGAACUGGGAGGCGGAGGCUGCCGCCGAUGAGCCAGAGCCGGCGACCCGGUGCAUCAACGGCGCGCGCCCCGGGACCCUCCUGCUCCAGAGCCCCGGAAGCAAGCAGCAGUCCCCGUCCAAGCCGCACUUCGUCUCUCCGAGGCCUCAGGCCGAGCUGGACGACGCGGCCACCAAGGUCCAGAAGCUCUUCAAGGGCCACCGGACCCGGAGGAACCUCGCCGACUGCGCCAUUGUCGUGGAGGAGCUCUGGUGGAAGGCCUACGAUUCCGCAUCACUCAACAUCAAGUCCAUCUCCUUCUUCGACGAGGCCAAGCAGGAGACGGCUGCUUCCCGGUGGUCAAGGGCUGGGAAGAGGAUUGCCAAGGUCGGCAAGGGGCUGUCCAAAGACGAGAAGGCCCAGAAACUGGCACUGCAGCAUUGGCUCGAAGCUAUUGACCCGCGCCAUCGCUACGGCCACAAUUUGCACCUCUACUACGACAUCUGGUCCGCGAGUUCCAGCACAGAGCCCUUCUUCUACUGGCUGGAUAUCGGAGCCGGGAAAGACGUUCAUCACCAAAAGUGUCCCAGAAGCAAGCUGUAUUCCCAACUGAUUAUGUACCUCGGACCAAACGAGAGGGCAGGGUACGAGGUUAUUGUGGAGCAAGGGAAGCUCAUGUACAGGAGAAGCGGCCUUCUCGUAGAAACCACCGAGGAUUCGAAAUGGAUAUUUGUGCUGAGCACAACUAGAUCACUAUACAUCGGGCAGAAGAAGAAGGGUAAAUUUCAGCACUCAAGUUUCCUGGCCGGCGCGGCGACAACCGCUGCCGGUAGGUUGGUUGCCAAAGAUGGCAUUCUUAAGGCAAUAUGGCCUUACAGCGGCCACUACCUCCCUACAGAGGAGAACUUCAGGGAGUUCAUCAGUUUCUUGGAGGAGAACAAUGUCGAUCUAGCUAACGUCAAGAGGUGUUCCGUGGACGACGACGAGUACCCAUCGUUCAAAAAGAGCUCAGACGAGCCUACUGAAAUGGAAGGAGAUGACGAGAAACCCACCGAGGAGGCGCAACAUGAUGAGACCCUCAACAGCUCGCAAAUUGAACUGCCUGAGAUGGACAUCAUCAAGGAAGUGGUUGCCGAGGACAAUGCGGAAACCGAGACCAAGAUGGCCAGUCUCCCAUCCUUCAAAUGGGCAACCGCUGCUGGCGCGCGGAUCGGCUGUGUCCGUGACUACCCGGCUGAUCUCCAGAGCAUGGCUCUUGAGCAUGUCAAUCUGUCACCAAGAGUGGUGCCGUCUCCGAGUGCGAAUCGGCUGCCCAUCCCGUCACCUCGGCCGAGCCCCAAGAUCAGGCUGUCUCCCCGGCUGCACUACAUGGGCCUUCCCACCCCCACCGGCCGCCGUCUCCCGAUCCCAAGCCCGGAAAUCAGGAGGCAGCAGUUCAUGGGUUUUCACACACCGCAAGUGUCUCUCACUCUCCCCAAGCACAAGGCCAAGUGA